AUUGAACGCUGGCGGCAGGCCUAACACAUGCAAGUCGAGCGAGCGGCGGACGGGUGAGUAAUUUCUGGGAACCUGACUGAUGGAGGGGGAUAACUACUGGAAACGGUAGCUAAUACCUCAUACCAUCGGAUGUGCCCAGAUGGGUGUAGCUGGUUGGUGGGGUAAGGGCUCACCUAGGCGACGAACCCUAGCUGGUCUGAGAGGAUGACCAGCCACACUGGAACUGAGACACGGUCCAGACUCCUACGGGAGGCAGCAGUGGGGAAUAUUGCACAAUGGGCGAAAGCCUGAUGCAGCCAUGCCGCGUGUGUGAAGAAGGCCUUCGGGUUGUAAAGCACUUUCAGCGGGGAGGCGUUACCCGCAGAAGAAGCACCGGCUAACUCCGUGCCAGCAGCCGCGGUAAUUC
rnacentral:rRNA from 1 species